rfam:Patagioenas fasciata monilis isolate BTP2013 Sc31e1R_61, whole genome shotgun sequence.
UGGGGUUGACUCUCUUUCCUUAACUCAUGCCGCUGUGCCUUUUUAUUUGUUUCACAAUUGUGUGAGUUGAGUACAGAGUGUCAAUCCA